AGCAGCCGCGGUAAUUCCAGCUCCAAUAGCGUAUAUUAAAGUUGUUGCAGUUAAAAAGCUCGUAGUUGAAUUUCGGGGUCGGUAGGUUGGUCAUGCCUCAGGUAUGCACUGGUCUCACUGAUUCCUCCUUCCUGAUGAGCCGUAAUGCCAUUAAUUUGGUGUUGCGAGGAAUCUGGACUGUUACUUUGAAAAAAUUAGAGUGUUUAAAGCAAGCUAACGCUUGAAUACAUUAGCAUGGAAUAAUGGAAUAGGACGUUCGAUCCUAUUUUGUUGGUUUCUAGGAUUGACGUAAUGAUUAAUAGGGAUAGUUGGGGGCAUUAGUAUUCAAUUGUCAGAGGUGAAAUUCUUGGAUUUAUUGAAGACUAACUACUGCGAAAGCAUUUGCCAAGGAUGUUUUCAUUAAUCAAGAACGAAAGUUAGGGGAUCGAAGACGAUCAGAUACCGUCGUAGUCUUAACCAUAAACUAUACCGACUAGGGAUCGGAUGAUGUUAAUUUUUAAUGACUCAUUC
rnacentral:rRNA from 1 species